ACGUAUUCUGAAAGGAUACUCUUCGGACAAUAUACAAGGUGCUGCAUGGUUGUCGUCAGCUCGUGCCGUGAGGUGUCGGGUUAAGUCCCAUAACGAGCGCAACCCCUAUCAUUAGUUGCCAUCAGGUCAAGCUGGGGACUCUAAUGAAACUGCCUACGCAAGUAGUGAGGAAGGUGGGGAUGACGUCAAAUCAGCACGGCCCUUACGUCCUGGGCUACACACGUGCUACAAUGGUCGGUACAAAGGGUUGCCAAGCCGCGAGGUGGAGCUAAUCCCAUAAAACCGAUCGUAGUCCGGAUCGCAGUCUGCAACUCGACUGCGUGAAGUCGGAAUCGCUAGUAAUCGUGAAUCAGAAUGUCACGGUGAAUACGUUCCCGGGCCUU
rnacentral:rRNA from 1 species